rnacentral:rRNA from 1 species
UAAUACGUAGGGUGCAAGCGUUAAUCGGAAUUACUGGGCGUAAAGCGUGCGCAGGCGGUUGUGCAAGACAGAUGUGAAAUCCCCGGGCUCAACCUGGGAACUGCAUUUGUGACUGCACGGCUAGAGUGUGUCAGAGGGGGGUAGAAUUCCACGUGUAGCAGUGAAAUGCGUAGAGAUGUGGAGGAAUACCGAUGGCGAAGGCAGCCCCCUGGGAUAACACUGACGCUCAUGCACGAAAGCGUGGGGAGCAAACAGGAUUAGAUACCCUGGUAGUCCACGCCCUAAACGAUGUCAACUAGUUGUCGGGGAUUCAUUUCCUUGGUAACGCAGCUAACGCGUGAAGUUGACCGCCUGGGGAGUACGGUCGCAAGAUUAAAACUCAAAGGAAUUGACAA